GCAAGUGAAGGCAGAGACCAGCCUCACCCUCCCAUCAUCACACUCGAUCUCAGGGAGCUCCCGUCUGACAGGGCGGACGCAACCCCUGUCCUCGGGGGAACCCCUGGUCUUUAUUGGAGAAAUGACAGCCCUCUGUUGCCCAGGAUCCCUGGCCUGAGUGCAGUGCAAAGACCCACAGACCAAAACAUGUCCAGGUGUCCACAAAAGACUGUAUCAGCAGGUUCUUCUAUUUGGAGUUGAAUCCAGUCUGUCUUCUCCAUGGCAAGACUUCAUCAGAGCGGUUUCUAGCCUUCUGUCUCUUGGUUAUCAUGGACUCGGGGCGUUGACGGGGAAGCCUCAGCACGUUGACCCAGAAGCCUGCUCAUCAGUCCCCAGGAUGCAAGACUCUCACAAGCCCUUUGUUGGAAGGAAGUUCGAUGGCAACUUCUUCCCAGCCAGGCUCACAACCUUCAACUUCUCUCUAUGAGGGCUCUUGGGAGUUAGCAGUCCCUCCAGACCUGGUCCAACGACCCCCACCUUGAAUAAAUGAUCUGCCUGGCUGUGCUUUAACAAGUA
ensembl:lncRNA